CAUCUAGCGGCCGAAUAUGGGAGCGCAUCCCGCCGUCGAUGCUGCGUGCGCCUCUAGCGGAUGUGAUGACGCAGCGGUCGAAUGUCGGAACACCCGCGAUAGCCAUCUAGUGGUCGAAUAUGGGAGUGCAUUUCGCGAACGUGGUGACGUAUGUAGUGUGGGCGGCCGCUUCACCACUACAGGGGUCUGGUGCACUUGAGCGGAGGCGUAUUCUCACAGAUUUCAUAGUACCUGUAGUACCCUUUUUACCACGUUGCGUUUUUCCGCAACAAAAGGCCAUCUGGCGUUUGUCUUAUGUUUUGGUGAAAAACAACUAGGGAUCGUUUCUCAGCAGUGCCCUCUUUAGCCUUUUGUUUACUGCUAUUUAGCUCUUUUUUUAGAUGUUUUUUAGCUAGUCUGGUAACUAGCUUGUUUCCACGUUUUUUUCCACAUCAAAAAGCCCUCUGGAGUUUCACUUUUUAAUUCUUCUUGGUGCAAGCAACGCAGAUUAGUUUUUUCAUCGCUACCUACAAGUGUCCUCUGAAGAAAGAGGAUUCGGUUCUACAGCAAUGGCUGCAUUUGUUUGCAUCAUUAGGUGAUCGUGCAAAGAGCUGGGAUAACGUGGCUGUGUUAGUUGACGAAACUAUUAAACCACAAGCUCCGUGUAGCCCAUUCCUACAGACCCCAACACGCCAGAACAUUAAACCAAAGGCCACUCUAAUAAGGAAUAAGAACACAGCAAACAGACAAUCAGCCCCUGAACAAAGGAUCCGCAAGGGCGAGGGCUACUCGCUCUCCCAUGUGGCUGAAAUCAAUCCUGUUGAAAGACCAUGUGCUUCGAUGCCCCUCUCUGUGAAAGCUGCUACGCCUAACGUUCGCCAUCGUAAGCCUAAGAAGCAAUUUAUUGAGGUGAGUUUAAAAGGAAAGCAGUAAAAU